rnacentral:sRNA from 1 species
CGUUUUUUGCUUUUUGUUUGUUCGUUUGUUUUUUGAGACAGAGUUUCGCCCUUGCUGUGAACUACCAUAGGCUGGAGUGCAAUGGCGCAAUCCCAGCUCACCACAACCUCUGUCUCGUAGGUUCAAGCCAGCAGGGCGAGCCCCUACCCCAGAGUGAAGGUGGACUUUGCCCUCUCGUGCCACGAGGACUUGCUGGCACCCGUCUCUGAGCCCAUCGAGUGGAAAUACCACAGCCCUGAGGAGGAGAUAAGCCUUGGACCUGCCUGCUGGCUCUGGGAUUUUUUAAGACGAAGCGAACAGGUCUGCGAGGCCGUGAGGAGCGGAAAUGAGGAAGUGCUGGCUGAUGUCCGCACCAUCGUGAACCAGAUCAGCUACACCCCCAGGAUCCCCGAGACCUCUGUGGACGCAUACUGACCACCUGCUACAUGGCCAGCAAGAACUCCUCCCAAGAGACGUGCACCCGAGCCAGAGAGUUGGCCCAGCAGAUUGGAAGCCACCACAUCAGUCUCAACAUCGAUCCAGCUGUGAAGGCCGUCAUGGGCAUCUUCAGCCUGGUGACGGGGAAGAGCCCUCUAUUCGCAGCUCAUGGAGGAAGCAGCAGGGAAAACCUGGGGCUGCAAAAUGUGCAGGCUCGAAUACGGAUGGUCCUCGCCUAUCUGUUCGCUCAGCUGAGCCUCUGGUCUCGGGGCGUCCGCGGUGGGCUCCUCGUGCUGGGAUCUGCCAACGUGGAUGAGAGUCUCCUGGGCUACCUGACCAAGUACGACUGCU